CCCUUAGAUGUUCUGGGCCGCACGCGCGCUACACUGAUGCAUUCAACGAGUCUAAAACCUGCUCUGAUAGGGGUGGGUAAUCUUUUGAAUGUGCAUCGUGAUUGGGAUAGAUGAUUGCAAUUUUUCAUCUUCAACGAGGAAUGCCUAGUAAACGCAAGUCAUCGGCUUGCAUUGAUUACGUCCCUGCCCUUUGUACGCACCGCCCGUCGCUCCUACCGAUUGAAUGAUCCGAUGAAUAUCAUGGAUUGAGGAUGCAAGCAGGUUCGCCUGUCUUCAUCUUCGAGAAGUGAAGUAAAUCUUAUCAUUUAGAGGAAGGAGAAGUCGUAACA
rnacentral:rRNA from 1 species